CAUAAACAACGUACCAUAUUUACACACGUGUAUGUUGAAUUAUGCAGACUAUCGUUUUUUUUAUCGAUGUUGGUUUAGACAUGUUUACAAACUUGCUAAGUUGCUAAGCUAAAUACAAAUACAAAUGCCAGCUAAACUGUUACCAGUAAAAUUUGUUCUCAUGAUCAAACUCAAGAAACUCUAAGUACAGAUGAUUUGUUUAAAGUUAUAUGUAUUUUACUGUUGUAUUUACUUGAAGCUUUCUUAGAUUUUGAAACGAAGUAAACACAUAAUGUGUGUUGCUAAUGUUGGGCCAUGUAAUAUGUAAUACAUUUACGUUUUAAUGAAUAGUCUAACGAUUUAUAGUCGUUGUACUCUAUUGUUAUAAUAUGUCUUUUUGACUGAAUACAUGUUUGUUUUAUUUGUCUAUAUCCUAGAUUCGCAGCUGGACACAUCCUUCUACACUGUAUGCAAACAUGCAACAUCAUUACACACAGUACAAGGAGUCAGACUGGCAUAUGAGGAGCAAAGGAACCCAGGCAAUAGCAUCGUUUCACAAUGUUUCCAUCACCAUCAUCAGUGGAUGCCUUUGCUGUCCGUAGCCUGAGAUUUCAGAUUUGCAGCAAAAAAAAAUUGAUUUUCUCAUUUAUUGGAAUGCUGUGCAGGUAUUUGUACCUUGCAGCCAUCCAUUACAAUGUCACCAAGCCGUAACAAAAGCAGGAGAGGGAAAGUACAAGGCUAUGUUCCCAAAACACACAAAUGACAUACCUUAUGUGGAGGAUGUGAUCAGGCUUGUGUUUGAUGAGGUAUUUGAAGAUAAGCUGAAGGAAGCCCUGAUUCCAAUGGACCUGGCAUCACAGUUUGAGAGACCUUCAAAGGAGGACGUGAUUGCAUGCCAUCUUCAGUGCAGGGGUCGUCGAAAGCCAAAAUUGUGACCGAUCUGAUCAGGAAGCUCCAAGCGUAUCUGGAGAACAACACACGACAGGAUGAUAACCUUAUAGUGUCGUCUUAAAUAGCACCAGCUGACAAAGCUUUGAUAUGCCAUUUAUCUGAAUAGAUAGCUGUAAGUAGUGAUGAGCGAGUCACCCGAAACUCGGAUCAUUUAACCCGAUCCCUAAAAUGACUCGAGAACCAUGAGUCCUUAGUGACCAUUAACCCGAGUCAGUUGAGUCCUCUCAGAUUUUGCAUUAAAAAUGAGAAAUUGUAUCAAACACAAAGCUCUUCAAAUGUUUACAACAGAAUUACAACAAAUAACUCUACAUAAGCUGCCAUAGGUUCUAUAACUUGCAAAAACGAGUUAAUUUACAUCACCAAAUGUCGACUGAGUGAAUCAAAAGCUGCUAUUCCGGAUCAUUAUUUCUUGCAGCUCCGAGUCCGAGUUCAAAGGGAUGCGUUCGCGCGACAAUGAGUUGGUCGGCGGCUCGGGGAUUCACACAGAGAGUGACUCAACUCAUGGAGCUUGAAUCCUGGGCUAGGAGAAACAAGCCUUGCUCGUGUUGUUAACCCACUGACUCAUGUAGGCUAAUCUGUUGAAAUAUUUGACUGGCACAAUGUUUUGGGUAGAAGCUGCAAAUGUUUAACAUUUUUAAAUACGAGGACUGCUGCAGCAGUGCUGCUGGAAAGAUCCGCCACCGACGGACGUACACGGCUCCUCUUGUUGACUGAGUCACUCAGAGUGACGUGAGUGGUUCACUCACAGGACCCGUGCAGGAGCGGGCGAGCGCUCUGUCUGGGACUCACUCACAAGAUUAACCGAAGCCUAUCGUGGAUCUUUUAAGUCAAUCUGAAACAGGACACGUUCCUCUCACGUCCAAGUCAACCAAGCCUGACAUCUUCUAAAUGUGGUGUUGAUAUAUUUGUCGUUAUGAAAUGAAACUAAACACACCAAACUUUUACAAUUAUGUUAUUGAUAAUGUUACCACGGGCAUGCAUGUUUUUUACGAGUUCCUCAGGUCACAUAAGCCCUUUUUUGUGAGCAGAGGAGUCAUAAACUCGUAGCUGCACGCGUGAUCCGAGUUGCUUGGUUGGCAUUAGUAUGACUUAGCGAUUGGAAUUGGGAGAUUUUGACCAAGUGACUCAAGUGACUCGAGUGACUCGCACAACCCGGAUCAUAUUAGUGAGUGACUCAGAAUAACCCGAAUCCUUAAAAAGAUCCGGGUUGACCAUCACUAGCUGUAAGAAAUGAAUUGAACAAUUUUUGAAACAAGAGCACAAUAUGGUUACUAAAGUAUGUUUAUUUGUAUAUUGUUUAACAUUUAAAUAUAUAUUUGUAAUAAAUAAAUAAAACUUUUGACUGACUA